AUUGAACGCUAGCGGGAUGCCUUACACAUGCAAGUCGAACGGAGUGGCGAACGGGUGAGUAAUGUAUCGGAACGGGCCUAGUAGCGGGAGAUAACUUCGCGCAAGCGUAGCUAAUACCGCAUAUUAACAGAGCGGCUGAUAUCGGAUUAGCUGGUUGGUGGGGUAAAGGCUCACCAAGGCGACGAUCCUUAGCUGGUUUGAGAGGACGACCAGCCACACUGUGAAUGAGACACGGCCCAUGCUCCUACGGGAGGAAGCGGUGGGGAAUUUUGGACAAUAGGGGAAACCCUGAUCCAGCCAUCCCGGGUGUGCGCUGAAGGCCUUCGGGUUGUAGAGCACUGUUGGCAGAGAAGCGGUACCUGCAGAAUAAGCACCGGCUAACUACGUACCAGCAGCCGCGGUAAUUC
rnacentral:rRNA from 1 species